UGAGGAUGGAUGGGUCCUACCCCCGAUUUUGAUGGGAUGUGUUCAUGUCCUGUCUCCUCUCCUGGACACAUUAAGGGGUUGGGACAAGAAGAGACUCCUGUGAGAUCAGCAGACCUUGUGUUUAAGGAGAGAAUACCAGCCUGCAACACCCAUGGAGAGGGACGCUUCCUGGCCCCACCUGCUAAAUACCUCCAAACUCUGGGCAGGCGCCUGCAUUCUCAACACAGGACUUUCCUUACAGUUUCCCAAUCAGUGACCACCACCACGUUCAAGUUUCUGAAUGCAGACCCACCACGAGGGAUGGAUGUCCGCCCUGCUGCAGAUCUGCAGCACAGCAGGCACGUGUCUGGAGAGAACAGCUCCUGAGCACAGCACCCUUGGAGCCCUCACUCUGCUCAUGGGCCUCACCAGUGCUGAUGAUGCCGUCAUGCCGCUGGCCUGAGACAGUAUUCCAGCUACAACAGGACGACACUGGGUUCAGGAAUAUGUGGCUAUCAGCUUGAGCACUGACAGUGGCCUUCCAGGCUAGUUGCCUUCCAAACGCAGGUAGCCGAUCUGCAGGAGGGCCUACAAACGGGCUCAGCAAGAGCUGGGCAACAGCUGGCUUGUGAAAUGAGACACCUUGACCAAUAAGCUUUGGGUGGACGGUGUCCUACAUGUUCAAUGGAGGCCACCAGGAGCAUCCAUGAGCGGGGAAGGGGUCCACACCCUUACAUGGCGAGUUGAUACAAUGGGGUGCUUGGUGGAUGGGCCAUGGAGGUCCGUGAGUGGGAACUGGGCACAUGCCAUCCCAGAGGGCUCAGGAUGCCCCAGGAAGGAAAGAAGGGCAACAGACUACAUGAUUGGAUGUGUGUGGUUGACUGGGAUGAAGUUGGGGGGAGGGGCAGAGCCUUGCAGGGGAUUGGUGCUGAUCCCAGGGAGGGAGUGUUGGGGCUUGAUGAACUAGGAUGAAAGGAGGCCUCUGAGCCAUAACAAGGGGCACAUCCAGGAUUUCCACCACCCUGAAUUUAGUAGAGCUAGUAGGCCCUGGUUGUCACUCUGGACAGGGAUGCCGUCAGCCUUGAGGGUCGCCACCCACCUGUGUGUUGCCCUUUGUCUUGGCAGGGAAACAUACACCCCUUGUCUCACCACCAGCCUUGUGUAGUCAGCAGGGCUGGCCCUGCCCUGAGGACUCACUGCAUGUACCCGGACCCCUAGGCCUGGCCUUUGCAGCAUAGGUGGGAGCUUCUGGAUUCCAUCUGCACCUGUGAGCCCCAUGCUGGCUGUGCACUGCGCGGGCCUGAGACCGCUGGAUACAAUGUUGGGCAACAACUCAGCGAGCCUGAUGGCAGCCUCAGAGGCUCACUCUAACCCAUCCCGGAAUAAAUGGAGACUUCAUGUGUUCAUUGUUUCAUUCA